rnacentral:lncRNA from 1 species
CAGGGAGGCUAACAGUGGAUCAGAAGCACUGAUAACCAGUAAGAGAUUUUAUUGAUCACUUUUUCUGUACAUGGCUCUGUCAAAUACUGUCAGGGAUACAAGGAACUAACCAUGAUAUUCCCCAGUGGUUUAUUAUCUACUAAAUUAACAUUUUUCUAUAUAGAGCUGAGUACACCAUUUGUUGAAUUAUUUUCUAUUCUUUAAAUACGCCCUACUUUAUUUCAUAGUGAAAUAUUGGGACAGCCUACUCACGUUGGGAGUACAAUAUUUCAUCAGUCUCUCCCUUUUGACCCAGCUGAUCCAGAGGCCUCAGCUAAAGUUCUCCUCGGGAAUAUUUUCCUAAACCUGCAAGCUCAGAUAGAAUCCAGCUGGGUGUACGACCGCUUGGCUCUCUGUGGCAGUAUUCCAUCGAGUCCUACGCUGGUGACCUCACACAGUGCCCAGAAGCCCAUGUCCGCAGACAGCCAGCCUACCGGAAGUCAUGUAAGCCAUGUUUUCAAAUGGCACCACACCAUGUUGAUACUUUUACAUGACAGA